AUUACUGAUUUGCUUAAUUGCACCACAUGUGUUUUUCUUUGAAACAAACUUGCUUUGGCGGUGGGCCCAGCCUGCCGCCAGAGGUCUAAACUUACAACCAAUUUUUUAUCAACUUGUCACGCCAGAUUAUUACUAAUAGUCAAAACUUUCAACAACGGAUCUCUUGGUUCUCGCAUCGAAUUCCCGCUGCCACA
rnacentral:rRNA from 1 species